AUGGAUUAUGCAUUCGAAGUG
rnacentral:miRNA from 1 species